rnacentral:misc_RNA from 1 species
UCCGGCUUACCACCGGCAGUCCCCUUAGAGUGCCCAACUAAAUGAUGGCAACUAAGGGCGAGGGUUGCGCUCGUUGCGGGACUUAACCCAACAUCUCACGACGCGAGCUGACGACAGCCAUGCACCACCUGCGCAGAAGUCCCUUGCGGGAGGUGCUCACUUUCGUGAGCAUUUCCUCUGCAUGUCAAACCCAGGUAAGGUUCUUCGCGUUGCCUCGAAUUAAACCACAUGCUCCGCUGCUUGUGCAGGCCCCCGUCAAUUCCUUUGAGUUUUAGCCUUGCGGCCGUACUCCCCAGGCGGGGCACUUAAUGCGUUAGCUUCGGCACGGAGGGAGUCGACACCCCCCACACCUAGUGCCCAUCGUUUACAGCGUGGACUAC